GAGAGAAGGAGGCCGGGGACAGAAGCUGAGGACGGAGAAGAAAGUGAGAACCCUCAGGCUGACUGCUGCUCGGUGCAGGCCCAGCGCUAAGGUCAGGGGAGGAGUCCUCCCGCCGCGACAGCUGAGCCGGGAAGCUGGCCUCCCUCCUGCAGCAGCUGGCUACCAAGAACGCGGGCAGGGGCGCCUGGCCUUCCGCUCAGCUCCCAGAACCCGGCCCGUGUGGCCUUUCUGAACUCCUGCCCUUAUCCCGGGCCUCAGCUAUGUGCAGUAAGAGAAGCUGAUGAUUUUUAAAAACCCAACCCCAGCGAUCGCUGGGGGGGGGGGGGGGUCUGCUGAAAGAAAGCGAAAAAAGGCAAGGCUUUGAAUUACAUGCUCAGCACUGAUGAGCAUGAGAGCUGCAACCGGGAUGAAAUCUUUAGCCCUCAAUCCAGAGCUCCUCUGCCAGAGAAAACAAUGAGAAACGUGUCUCGCCUUUGUUCACCGACUGCUCCAUUACAUUCCCCACCUCUGCGAUUUUCAUUCUGUACUUCGCCACAUGCAAUUUCGGAGCCACUCGCUAGAGGUCGCUGUUUAUCGCCAGCAAACCGCAGCUCUGCAGGAGGGUGGCAAGGGUCCCUCCGCCCUGCAGAGGCCGCAACCUGCAGGCUUUGGCAGAGGAAAGCCACGCCCAGGCCGGCUCGGUCUUGCCUGCAAGAACGUUUGCCGUUGCUCUCACCCACAGAAUCACAAAAGGAGGAGAAAGCAAAGUAUUCAAGGUGCUUCCAACAGACUCUAAUGUGGGUUUUUAAAAUCCUGAAUAAUUUGUGACUUUUCAAUAUGCCCCCUGUUCCUACGGGUGCUUCCCAGGUGACCCACCAAGCAAUCCCAAGGAAGGGCUUGAAUCAAUCCCGAGGCUCACGUCAGACUGCACCUACAGCUAGCCACUACCCCUGUCGCCACUGGGGGAGCCUUUCCCAGCUGGUGCCCUGCCCAGAAUACAAAAACAGCUUCGAAACAGAAUGACAGGACCGUGGAGCUGCUAACACAGGACGCAGUCAGCGCCUCCCCUGAUAUGCGGAUUCUAGAGAGGCUACUCAAAGAAAGAGCAAUGUUCUAACUGAAGCUUGCCUUUCCUUUGGAAGUUGGCACGGGUUCUUGGGACCAAGAGACACUGUGGAAUGCGGGCUGCAAAAAAUGUCACCAAAACAACCUGUUGACAAGCCAGAGCUCUGUUUAUUGCUCACAGCAAUAAAUGAGAUUUCUACUGCCUGUACUCCCAGCACUCUGGAAGGCUGAGACAGAAGGAUCCUAAGUUUGAGCCAAGCUUGAACAACUUGAAAGACACCGUCUCUGAAUUUUACAAUGAUAAAUAAAAAAAAAAAACAAUAGAACAACAAAGGACUGAAGAUGUCUGAAAAAAAAACCCUUCUCCUCCUAGUCUUGCCAGCAUCUCAGAUGGACUAAAGAAUGUGUAGUCCUGGAUUCUGCAGUGUAGUUUAAGGCAAAUCUUUCAGUGUGCCGACACGGUUAUGACUGAGUAAGGAUCAUGAUAUUAACAUUUAAGAUGGAUGCACCAAACAAAACAGGAUUUUGAGGCAAGAAGUUUUCAAGAGUCUUGGGUAUAAACUGAUGCUUUUGAUUGAAGAGGUAUUUCAAUCAGUUUCUGUCAUGAUCAAAGUUAUCUGCAGCUUCCACCUGCCUGAGGGAGAAUUUCCUGGAGGUGUGCUAAGGAAGACAGCACAGGAGUAAAGCUCUGUGUAGAGCGGAUGAUGUGGAUCUAGAGGUUUGCUGCUCACUAAUAAGGAACCUCUGAAGCCAACAGCGCUCCGUACCCCUCUGCUCUGAUCCCAGCCAGCCAGUUCCACGACUCCUGCAGAAUCUGCAGACCUACAGGGUUGAGCCUCUCGUCUUCCCCCAUCGUGGCUCUGAGGUAGACUAGCCUAGAAGAGAUAGACAGGUAGAAAGGAGACAAGAAAAAAAGUCAUAAUUUUAAAAUUAUAUGUUUAAGAAAACUGUAGUUUCUGGACACAACAUGAGGGUUGUAAUGUCUUUCAGGAAACUUGCUCUCAAAUUGAUAAAAGAUACAAUAAGUCUGAGAAUUGGGCCUCUGCCUUUCUCCUGAAAAUGAAGCCUAAGUUUUUAUCCCGAUACUGUAAACUCUCAAGCUCUGCAGACUUCUACACUGAAGGGAACCACACAGUUCAUUAGGUACCUAGCUCUAAACUUCAAAUGCAUGCAAAUGGUUUGCAGCUUGGCUUAGCCCACUCACAGGUGACCUGACAGACACGAAGUACACAUGGUCGAUCAUCGAUCUUGAGGACGCCCCGAAGAACACUAAAUACCCCAGUCUCAGAUCAUGCUGUACCUCUGUCUUGAGGGCUUGUACUCAUUUCCUUUAUAUACUUAUUUAACUUUGCCUGAGGAAUCUGUCUAUGCCUCUCACUGAUGGAUCUUCAAACGCUUUUCUGUGAUGGAAGUCAGUGACCUACUCUGUGGGUAGGCACCAAUUGAGGGCUCCAUCUCUUCUUUGGGGAGACUGCCUGGGGUCUCAUCUGGUGACCCAUCAAUUCACCAUCUAGAAGGUAAAGCAUUCCUGUUGCAUCCUAGCUCAGAUGCCCAUCGUCUGUCCACCAGGUUCCCUGGGCUUUCGUGGCAACAGAAUUCCUUCCAGUCUUCUGGACAGGUCUUGACAUGUCCAAACCCACACACAGUAGUCGGUCUAUAUGGGCCCUUUCCCUAGGACUCCCACAGAUACAACAUUGCAUAAGAAGCAGAAUGUGACUCUUGAGCACUUUUUUGUGGCAUCAUGUUUAAAAAUACUACAAAAAUCAUGUACGUCAUUAUUUUCAUUACUAUAGCAAAUGGGGCCAAGAUGGGUAAACACCAACAUUUCCACUCCUUUUUUCCUACUGUAGUCUUUGCUGACAAUCUUCUGACCAGCCGGGGACCACAUUUCUUGGCUUUACGUGACUCUGUGUGGCCACAUGGCUGAGUCUCGCCAAAGAGCUGCGAGCAGAAAUGACACUCAGUCUUACAGUUCGGGGCUUCAUUUCUUCCUCCUAUUCUGCCAGUUUGAUGUAGAUAAUAGUAAGGUCCAGGGCACAGCCAGUAAGAGAGAAGCAGCCUGAGUCUCAGGAUUGAAAAAUCAGGUGAAGUCACCAGCCACAUGGGAAAUGAAGGAGAAAUAAACUCCUGUUAGGCUAACAAUACAGAAUGUUUGCUCUGUUUGUUAGAGCAGAUCAUGAAAGAAGUAAAAUGAUAAUACUCCUCCCAUGGAGAGUCCGAAGAAAACAAUCUCUGUCAUUAUUUUGAACCUAAAAACCUACCCUAGAAAAAAAUACCAGGCUCUGGUUUUGGGUGGCCUUGACAGAAAACCAGAAUAAAUUAAUUUGGAUUUUAGCAUAUUAAUAAGGUAGCAGGUAUUUAUAGAACAUCAUUAGGUGAUCAUCCUUUUGAGAACCAGUUUGCUUCUCGGGAAAGGUUUUGGCAGCUGUGAAAAGGCUGAUAAGAUUUCAUUAUUCCUCUGCACACUGCAACAAACUGAGAUAUUCUGCUUUACAUGCUUCAGAUGGAGAGAAAGACAGAGACAAAGUUCCGUUUCAGCCAGAGCUGCCUCGAUAUAUAGGUCAUGUUUCCCAGAACUGAGUGUGCUGCAGAACCAGAACAACCUCCCCAGAGCCCUUCAAAGCAGUACCCUUGUCUGGAAGAAUUAAUGUCCUUCUUUGCCACAGGAGCCCCGACUUUCAGAGCCCCUCCUUCUACUUGGGCUCCCCGAGUGCAAGUAUUUGGACUGCAUUGAAAAAAAAAAAUAAGAAAUAUCCCCUCUUAUUUCUUAUAUUCUAACAUGUGAUAGAAGAGGACUUAAUACUGACCCGGGCACACACAUGUUAGGAUCCCCAGGAUAGCAACUGUAAAAGAGCUUAGCCACGUUGGUUUGGGAGCGAGCCCUGCCCAAGAGCAUUGCUACCGUGUGUGAGCUUGUGCAUUCUGAGUUCUUUAUUCUGACCUUACAGUCCCACUAUGGCAUUUAACCAGCUUCUCUGCCUGCUAUGCCAUUUUCCGUAAGACAAAUGGAUGCAAUCGGUCAAUUUCAUGGGGUUGGGGUAGUUUAUAGAUGUUAAACGGUGACAGACUAUAAACGAGGGAAAUACAGAGGACUGGAAAUAAAUACUACUUAAAUGCCAA